rnacentral:rRNA from 1 species
CCUACGGGAGGCUGCAGUGAGGAAUAUUGGUCAAUGGGCGCGAGCCUGAACCAGCCAAGUAGCGUGAAGGAUGACUGCCCUACGGGUUGUAAACUUCUUUUAUAAAGGAAUAAAGUGAGGCACGUGUGCCUUUUUGUAUGUACUUUAUGAAUAAGGAUCGGCUAACUCCGUGCCAGCAGCCGCGGUAAUACGGAGGAUCCGAGCGUUAUCCGGCUUUAUUGGGUUUAAAGGGAGCGUAGAUGGGUUGUUAAGUCAGUUGUGAAAGGUUGCGGCUCAACGGAAAAAUUGCAAUUGAUACUGGAGGACUGGAGUACAGUAGAGGGAGGCGGAAUGCGUGGUGUAGCGGUGAAAUGCUUAGAUAUCACGAAGAACUCAGAUUGCGAAGGCAGCGGAC